rnacentral:tRNA from 1 species
GGGGUUGUGGCUCAGCGGUAGAGCGCUCGCCUUGCAUGUGUGAGACUCUGGGUUCAAUCCUCAGCACCA